rnacentral:rRNA from 1 species
AGCGAACGCUGGCGGCAGGCCUAACACAUGCAAGUCGAACGAUCCUUCGGGAUAGUGGCGGACGGGUGAGUAGCACGUGGGAACGUACCUUUAGGUUCGGGAUAACUCAGGGAAACUUGAGCUAAUACCGGAUAAGCCCUUUUGGGGAAAGAUUUAUCGCCUUUAGAGCGGCCCGCGUUAGAUUAGCUAGUUGGUGAGGUAAAGGCUCACCAAGGCUCCGAACUAUAGCUGGUCUGAGAGGAUGAUCAGCCACACUGGGACUGAGACACGGCCCAGACUCCUACGGGAGGCAGCAGUGGGGAAUCUUGCGCAAUGGGCGAAAGCCUGACGCAGCCAUGCCGCGUGAAUGAUGAAGGUCUUAGGAUUGUAAAAUUCUUUUAGCAGGGACGAUAAUGACGGUACCUGCAGAAAAAGCCCCGGCUAACUUCGUGCCAGCCGCCGCAGUAA